GAUGAACGCUGGCGGCGUGCUUAACACAUGCAAGUCGAACGAAGCACUUAAGACAGAUUCUUUCGGGAUGAAGACUUUUGUGACUGAGUGGCGGACGGGUGAGUAACGCGUGGGUAACCUGCCUUAUACAGGGGGAUAGCAGUUGGAAACGACUGGUAAUACCGCAUAAGCGCACAGUACCGCAUGGUACAGUGUGAAAAACUCCGGUGGUAUAAGAUGGACCCGCGUCUGAUUAGCUGGUUGGCAGGGUAACGGCCUACCAAGGCGACGAUCAGUAGCCGACCUGAGAGGGUGACCGGCCACAUUGGGACUGAGACACGGCCCAGACUCCUACGGGAGGCAGCAGUGGGGAAUAUUGCACAAUGGAGGAAACUCUGAUGCAGCGACGCCGCGUGAGUGAAGAAGUAUUUCGGUAUGUAAAGCUCUAUCAGCAGGGAAGAUAAUGACGGUACCUGACUAAGAAGC
rnacentral:rRNA from 1 species